CGAACCGUGCGAACGUUGUUCGGAAUCACUGGGCUUAAAGGGCGCGUAGGCGGCUCUGUUGGUCGUGGGUGAAAUCCCCCAGCUUAACUGGGGAACUGCCUACGAUACCGCGGAGCUCGAGGGAGGAAGGGGCGGCCGGAACUGUCGGUGGAGCGGUGAAAUGCGUUGAUAUCGACAGGAACGCCGGUGGCGAAAGCGGGCCGCUGGCCCUCUUCUGACGCUGAGGCGCGAAAGCCAGGGGAGCGAACGGGAUUAGAUACCCCGGUAGUCCUGGCCUUAAACGAUGGGCACUAGGUAGUGGGCUCGACCUGGGCGCACUGCCGCAGCGAAAGUCAUUAGUGCCCCGCCUGGGGAGUAUGGUCGCAAGGCUG
rnacentral:rRNA from 1 species